rnacentral:lncRNA from 1 species
AUGCCCCAUGGGAUUCCAGGCCAAAUGCAAAAGGCUGGUGUAAUCUCUGCCACCACAGCUUGUGUGACCUCACUUGCUCGCUGGCUGUGGGGGCAGCUGAUGGCCCAGGCUGCUGAGGCAGGGUCCCUAAACAGAGCAGGGGUGGCAGCUCUUCAGGAAUACAGUCUGUCCUCUAUUACCCACCAGGAAUGAAGUCUUCAAUACCCACAGAGCUGCAUAGGAUUUUUACCUUCAACGUAAAAUAGAAGUCCUACAUAAUAAGAAAACAGCAAGCCACAGUUAUCAUUGGUUGAUUCAGUCAAAUCAGCCCAACAGUUUGUUGAUGUUCACUGGACAUUGUCUUCACUUUGACUACAUGCUUACUAUUGUUCUAGAUGCUCAUACAGUCACACACUGUCAGAAUAAUUUGAUUAAACAAUAAUGCCCAAAAGAUUGCCUUUGGGAGGUUUUUAAUGGUGUUAAACAGAAAAAUAAUGGAGCUGUAGAAUACACAAGUUAUUUUCAGCGGCACCCUGAGGUGGAAAUGACUUUUUCCAUGUCCCAAAGUUUCAAAGUACUUUUCUCAUUGUCAUAGUGCACAAAAUAUGGCUGAUCGCACAGAGAAAACAUAACUGUGAAAGUGAACCCAUAUAUAAGUAUUUAGGAGCCGAGAGAGACGGAAAAACAGAAAGACCGAUCUAUAAUAACAAGCAGCCAACUUGAUUAAGAAGAAUAUCAAGCAAUCUGCUUUUUAAAAAGCAGAAACCAAAAUCCUAUAGAAGCAAGAGAUGAAGGCUUUGUCUUUUGAACAACUUGAAAAAUUAUAUUAGCAAAAAUGUAAGAAUAUUCUUUGAAAUGUAAACUCUAUAAGGGCAGAGAUUCUUUAUUCUCUUUUGUUCACAUCUUUACCUAGGCCUUUCUCCCUAGUGUCUAGAACAAUGUCUGGUGCUGGUAGAUACUCAAUAAAUAUUUGUCAAAUGAAUUCUGCAAUUAUUAAUAAUAGACCUGAAAUAAGAAACAGACACCUAAGUGCUGUCUAUACUCUAUGGGAUCCACAGAGAAGAACUAGACUAGAUUAGCACUAAGAUUAUUACCUCAAAAUGCUCAAAGACCAGUAGGCAUAUGUCUACAUAACUCACGAGACAGCUUGUAGGGGAUCCUAAUGACAAAUUUUAAACAAAUGGAGGGGGCAAAUGAAAAUAUUGGAUAAAAACUAAUCCAUAAGUUCACAGUGAUAAGAAUAAAAAAGAGGGGACAAAAUAUAGAGAAAGCUCUUUUUUUCUUUAUAAAAGAAUGCCAGAUAGUAAAUAUAAACAGGAUGAUAGAAUUAGAAAAAUCUCCACUUUCAAGUAUCAGUGUAAUCAUUGAUUCAGACAUGGAUUAUCAGUGUUUCUAAUGUUAUUGGGCAAAAGUUAUUGGGAAUCAGCAUACUUAGAUAGUCUCAAACAUCACCCCAUGUAUUUAUUAUGAAGGGAAAGGUAAACUUGUGGUGGAGAGACCUGGUAGAUUCUAACCUA